rnacentral:lncRNA from 1 species
UUCUUCUUCUUCUUCUUCUUCUUUGUAGUUUCAUUUGUAGCUGCUUCAUCUUUACUCUUCUUUUUCUUUUUCUUAGCUGUCCCAUCCUGCUCGUUUACGCCAUUUGUUUUCCCAUCUUCUUCAUCCGCCUCUUGCUCCUUCUUUCGUUUCUCUUUCUUCUUUUUCUUCUCCGAUUUACCAUCCUCCGAUGCAUCUCCAUUUGUAGCAGCAGCUGGAGCAUCUUCGGUUUUUGACUUCUUUUCCUUGCUUUUCUUUGCGGAAGCUUCUUCAGGUUCUACUUCUUCCAUUUCAGUAUCUGUAUAAGACACAGGGAUCGAUAAACAAUUAUAAAAACUAGGUAAAAUAAUCGAUAACAAUAUCAAAACAUCAGCCGCGAGGUGAAACCAAAUAACGAUGAAAGAAAAGACGUACAACUUUUUGUACCUUUGUUCUGAGUACUUUCAAUUGCAGAUUUCAUUACAUCGAUGUUUUUACGAGGUGCAACACCUUUGUCAUAGAAUUCAAGUCGUUCCUCCACUUGUUCCCGCAGUUUCUCCCCAAAAACAGUGGAACCCCUCUCUGAAAACAUGAGUUGAAUGAAAUAUUAUAGGUGAAAACAUACAGUGUACAGGGAAAGAAGAAUCACGAUUACCUGAAAAACAAUCUAUACGAGAUGCAAUGGAACACUUGUUUGCAAGAUAGCGUGCCAUUCGGCCCUUGUUCUUCGAAGAUGCUCGACCAAUGAAAGAGGAAUGGAAAAUUAGACCAUACUUGGGUGUAUUUCCGCGAGUUUUCAGUGCCCUGAAGCCAGUAAACAAUGAGUGAAAUCAAUCCAUAAAACCACAGAUGAGAAAAAAAUCAACAUAAAAAAUGCAAUAAUACACUUGGAUUAGUGCUCAAGAUCUUGAGCAAUACACAAAUCAAGCUUCCACUCAAAGAGGGCCUAAAUUUUAGCAAGAGGUCCGCGUCUCGAUACAUUUU